CGACUCCUCGGCUCACUGAGCCCGCAUCAGUUCUAUCAAACUUUUAAAAAGGAAUAAACAUUCAUGCUCCUCAAACUCUUCCGAACACUGAAGAGGAGGGGACACUUCUGAAUUCACUCUGUGAGGCCAGCGUUACCCUGACACCAAGGGCAGACAAAGGACACACAGAGGGGUGGGGGUGCAUGGAGGACACCAGGAGAGGACUGGGACUGGGAGCCAGAGAAGGGAAAGGGGACAGACAGGACCAACAUUGACAGGUCUCAGUUUUACAGCUCUGAGGAGGGGGCCGGCGGCCUCAGAGAGGCCUCUGAAGGGCGAUUGGAAACUGGAGACCGCCGAGCUUCCUCCUGGGAUCUCCCCAAAGCAACCUCCUGGGAUCUCCCCAAGGCAACCGCUCCUCAGUGAGAAGGAAGCAGGAUUUCUGCCAAUCAGCCCCUCCCAGCAGGCCCGGAGUUCACGCCCGCCCUCCUGGCCAGUGACUAACGACUAAUGGUCCCGGGUAGAGUCUGACCACUAGAAUCCUUGCAAACGGCAGAGACACACAGCCCAGCACCCGCCCUCCCCCAGUUCUCACGGGUGGGGCACAAGGGUGCAAGGGGAUAUAUUCUGAGCCACUGAGGAAGUGGCUCCAGAUGCUGGUUUCCAGAGUGUAGGCUGAAGAUAGCAGGUGACUCAAGGAGCCAUGAAAGGCAUCCAUCUGGUCCUGCUGGCCGUGCUGCUGUGCUCCCAGCAAGCCCUGAGCCUGCAGUGCUACAACUGCACUGAAGAAGAGGACGUCAGCAAGUGCCAGACCACCAUCUCAUGUGACUCCACACCGAGCAUCUGCUAUAAGGGCGGCAGGACCUUGACCAAGACCAGUGGGCAGGUAGUCAAGUUACAUUCUAAGGGUUGUGGCUCUUCCUGCGAUGACGUUUAUGACAUGAUGGAGCAGCUGGUGGAGAAGAUGGUUUCAGAGGACAGGUCUAAGUUAGAACUGUGGGCUCCGGACUGCUGUGGAAAGGACCUCUGCAACAGGGUGGCCCAGGUGGGGCGCAGCCUCUGGAUCCUGGCCGGGGGGCUCCUGCUCAGCCUGCGGCCUGCCCUCCUCUGGGCCCUGCUGUGAGGACCCUUGGAACCCAGACACCAAGGAGGAUCGCAGUUCCUGGUGGCCUGCACAACAGCU
rnacentral:lncRNA from 1 species